UAGGGAAUUUUCCGCAAUGGGCGAAAGCCUGACGGAGCAACGCCGCGUGAGUGAAGACGGUUUUCGGAUUGUAAAGCUCUGUUCUGUGGGAAGAAGACAGUGACGGUACCAUAGGAGAAAGCCCCGGCUAACUACGUGCCAGCAGCCGCGGUAAUACGUAGGGGGCAAGCGUUGUCCGGAAUUAUUGGGCGUAAAGCGCGCGCAGGCGGUUAAUUAAGUCAGAUGUGAAAGGCUACGGCUCAACCGUAGAGUUGCAUUUGAAACUGGUUGACUUGAGUGCAGGAGAGGUGAGUGGAAUUCCCGGUGUAGCGGUGGAAUGCGUAGAGAUCGGGAGGAACACCAGUGGCGAAGGCGGCUCACUGGCCUGCAACUGACGCUGAGGCGCGAAAGCGUGGGGAGCGAACA
rnacentral:rRNA from 1 species